rnacentral:rRNA from 1 species
GGUUGAUCCUGCCAGUAGUCAUAUGCUUGUCUCAAAGAUUAAGCCAUGCAUGUCUCAGUACUUGCUUUAACAAGGCGAAACCGCGAAUGGCUCAUUAAAUCAGUUAUGGUUCACUAGAUCGUACAGUUUACAUGGAUAACUGUGGUAAUUCUAGAGCUAAUACAUGCAACCAGUCCGUACCCUCGUGGUGCGGACGCAGUUAUUUGCCCAAGACCAAUCCGGCCCUCGGGUCGUUCAAUUGGUGACUCUGAAUAACCGAAGCAGAGCGCUUGGUCUCGUACCGGCGCCAGAU